ACAUACCACUUUCUAGCACAAAUUUUUCAAAAUACACAUAAAAGAUUUUAAAUACCAUUCUAUUAACAAAAAAAAGACAAAAGAAAAA